UUGAUCCUGGCUCAGGACGAACGCUGGCGGCGCGCCUAACACAUGCAAGUCGAACGAGCGAGAGAGAGCUUGCUUUCUCGAGCGAGUGGCGAACGGGUGAGUAACGCGUGAGGAACCUGCCUCAAAGAGGGGGACAACAGUUGGAAACGACUGCUAAUACCGCAUAAGCCCACGGCUCGGCAUCGAGCAGAGGGAAAAGGAGCAAUCCGCUUUGAGAUGGCCUCGCGUCCGAUUAGCUAGUUGGUGAGGUAACGGCCCACCAAGGCGACGAUCGGUAGCCGGACUGAGAGGUUGAACGGCCACAUUGGGACUGAGACACGGCCCAGACUCCUACGGGAGGCAGCAGUGGGGAAUAUUGCACAAUGGGGGAAACCCUGAUGCAGCGACGCCGCGUGGAGGAAGAAGGUCUUCGGAUUGUAAACUCCUGUUGUUGGGGAAGAUAAUGACGGUACCCAACAAGGAAGUGACGGCUAACUACGUGCCAGCAGCCGCGGUAAAACGUAGGUCACAAGCGUUGUCCGGAAUUACUGGGUGUAAAGGGAGCGCAGGCGGGAAGACAAGUUGGAAGUGAAAUCUAUGGGCUCAACUCAUAAACUGCUUUCAAAACUGUUUUUCUUGAGUAGUGCAGAGGUAGGCGGAAUUCCCGGUGUAGCGGUGGAAUGCGUAGAUAUCGGGAGGAACACCAGUGGCGAAGGCGGCCUACUGGGCACCAACUGACGCUGAGGCUCGAAAGUGUGGGUAGCAAACAGGAUUAGAUACCCUGGUAGUCCACACCGUAAACGAUGAUUACUAGGUGUUGGAGGAUUGACCCCUUCAGUGCCGCAGUUAACACAAUAAGUAAUCCACCUGGGGAGUACGACCGCAAGGUUGAAACUCAAAGGAAUUGACGGGGGCCCGCACAAGCAGUGGAGUAUGUGGUUUAAUUCGACGCAACGCGAAGAACCUUACCAAGUCUUGACAUCCCUUGACAGACAUAGAAAUAUGUAUUCUCUUCGGAGCAAGGAGACAGGUGGUGCAUGGUUGUCGUCAGCUCGUGUCGUGAGAUGUUGGGUUAAGUCCCGCAACGAGCGCAACCCUUAUGGUCAGUUACUACGCAAGAGGACUCUGGCCAGACUGCCGUUGACAAAACGGAGGAAGGUGGGGAUGACGUCAAAUCAUCAUGCCCUUUAUGACUUGGGCUACACACGUACUACAAUGGCGUUAAACAAAGAGAAGCAAGACCGCGAGGUGGAGCAAAACUCAGAAACAACGUCCCAGUUCGGACUGCAGGCUGCAACUCGCCUGCACGAAGUCGGAAUUGCUAGUAAUCGUGGAUCAGCAUGCCACGGUGAAUACGUUCCCGGGCCU
rnacentral:rRNA from 1 species